rnacentral:rRNA from 1 species
UACGUAGGGAGCGAGCGUUGUCCGGAAUUACUGGGUGUAAAGGGUGCGUAGGCGGCCUUGCAAGUCAGGCGUGGAAACCAUGGGCUCAACCCGUGGACUGCGUUUGAAACUGUGAGGCUUGAGUGAAGUAGAGGUAGGCGGAAUUCCCGGUGUAGCGGUGAAAUGCGUAGAGAUCGGGAGGAACACCAGUGGCGAAGGCGGCCUACUGGGCUUUAACUGACGCUGAGGCACGAAAGCAUGGGUAGCAAACAGG